UAAGCAGAGCCAGCUGCAAAGAUUUAUUACUGCCUUGGAGUUUUAGGAAUGCUAGGGAAAGUAGUCUUUAAAAAAAACUUUCACACCUACAAGCAAAGAUCAGGAGUGAAUGGUUUUCAGCCAUAUAUUUUAUUAAAUUUGGAGGAACUUUAAAAACAUUUGUUGCUUCAGUGUAAGAAAUCAAACCAAGGUAGUCAGUUGAAUUGAAGAAUCUAUGUAGAUGUCUAUUAUCAGUUUAAGAAAAUGAGUCUUGAGUGUUUGAGAGCUUCAACUGGAAGUCUCUUUCCAUGGGGUAAUGAUACUUUGAUCUUGUUAAGACUACAUAGUUCCAAUUAUUAGGACUGACUGCCUGUUUCAUAGAGUAUGUCUCCGAGUCAACAGGUAAAAAUCAUUUCUUCAUCAGCCCUGUCACUUUACUACACACUUUUGGAUAGCCAAUGGAUAAAGGGUAGAUAAAAGAACCUCUCCCUGAUGUUUUAAGAGGGAAAUUCACAUGAUUAAAGCAUUGCUUAAGAAAUUAAGUAUGAUAUUGACCAAAUUUUCUGAAAUCCCCCUCCAAAUUUAUUUGGAUUGUUAGCUUAUGCCCCAGUUAUUUUGGUUCAAAAGCAGUUCCAGGAUUGAAUAUGACUUAAAAGAGGCAAGUUAGAAAAGAGCAAAGUAGCCAGGAGACCUGAAGUGGCAAGCAAAUGUUUUGGCAGCUAUGAUAAAUGUGAUUGUCGUUGCCCUAACCCUAAGUAAUGAAAAGGACAACAUUUUGACGAUAAAAUGUAAAAUUGGUUUAUAAAUGCAGUUAA
rnacentral:lncRNA from 10 species